CCUACGGGUGGCAGCAGUGAGGAAUAUUGGUCAAUGGACGGAAGUCUGAACCAGCCAUGCCGCGUGCAGGAAGACGGCUCUAUGAGUUGUAAACUGCUUUUGUACAAGGGUAAACCUGAAUACGUGUAUUCAGCUGAAAGUACUGUACGAAUAAGGAUCGGCUAAAUCCGUACCAGCAGCCGCGGUAAUACGGAGGAUGCGAGCGUUAUCCGUUUUUAGUGGGUUUAAAGGGUUCGCAGGCGGAGUUGCAAGUCAUCGAUCAAAUUGCGGGGCUCAACCCCGUACUGCCGUUGAAACUGGAUCCCUUGAGUGCGCGAGAAGUAUGCGGAAUGCGUGGUGUAGCGGUGAAAUGCAUAGAUAUCACGCAGAACUCCGAUUGCGAAGGCAGCAUACCGGCGCGCAACUGACGCUCAUGCACGAAAGCGUGGGUAUCGAACAGGAUUAGAGACCCUUGUAGUC
rnacentral:rRNA from 1 species